GUAUUCUUUUUAUCUGGCUCUGUAUUUUGCUUCGUGGAGGUAUUGAGUGAAAAUCCUGAUCCACUUAGUUCGUGGCAGAGUUGCUGUUGACAUUCAUUAAGGGCAAGAUUUCAAGUAAAAUGAAUUUGCACUUAGUACUUACUUAUGAUGGGCAUUUGAUGUUGGUUCAGUUACCAACAUCAGUUAUUUCCAGAGACAUCUUCAGUGGAAACGGUACAAGUAUUUUUAUGUUCUGGGUGAGGCCAGACAAUCAGGGUGCUUCCAAGGCUUGUUUUGUCUUGGGGCCAGUGCAAUUUCCAAGUGUCUCAGCUGUUGAUUUGUUCAUGUGGUGGAGUUUUACAAGGUG